CAACUACUCCCUCCAUCCCAAAAUUCUUGUCUUAAAUUUGUCUAGAUCCGUAUCUAGACAAAUAUAAGACAAGAAUUUUGGGACGGAGGUAAUAUAAU
rnacentral:pre_miRNA from 1 species